GUUGUACUCCCUCCGUCCGAAAAUACUUGUCGGAGAAAUGGAUGUAUCUAGACAUAUUUUAGAUCUAGAUACAUCUAUUUUAUCCAUUUUUGCGACAAGUAAUUCCGGACGGAGGGAGUAUUAG
rnacentral:pre_miRNA from 1 species